GGGGAUUUAGCUCAGCGGCAUAAGUGCCUGCCUUGCAAGCAGGAGUCGUGAGUGAGUUCAAUCCCUG
rnacentral:tRNA from 1 species